rnacentral:rRNA from 1 species
AGUGAACGCUGGCGGCAGGCCUAACACAUGCAAGUCGAACGGCAGCACAGUAAGAGCUUGCUCUUACGGGUGGCGAGUGGCGGGCGGGUGACGCAUACAUCGGAAUCUACUUUUUCGUGGGGGAUAACGUAGGGAAACUUACGCUAAUACCGCAUACGACCUACGGGUGAAAGCAAGGGAUCUUCGGACCUUGCGCGAUUGAAUGAGCCGAUGUCGGAUUAGCUAGUUGGGGGGGUAAAGGCCCACCAAGGCGACGAUCCGUAGCUGGUCUGAGAGGAUGAUCAGCCACACUGGAACUGAGACACGGUCCAGACUCCUACGGGAGGCAGCAGUGGGGAAUAUUGCACAAUGGGCGCAAGCCUGAUCCAGCCAUACCGCGUGGGUGAAGAAGGCCUUCGGGUUGUAAAGCCCUUUUGUUGGGAAAGAAAAGCAGCAGGUUAAUACCCCGCUGUUCUGACGGUACCCAAAGAAUAAGCACCGGCUAACUUCGUG